rnacentral:rRNA from 1 species
AUUGAACGCUGGCGGCAGGCCUAACACAUGCAAGUCGAGCGGAUGAAGGGAGCUUGCUCCUGGAUUCAGCGGCGGACGGGUGAGUAAUGCCUAGGAAUCUGCCUGGUAGUGGGGGAUAACGUCCGGAAACGGGCGCUAAUACCGCAUACGUCCUGAGGGAGAAAGUGGGGGAUCUUCGGACCUCACGCUAUCAGAUGAGCCUAGGUCGGAUUAGCUAGUUGGUGGGGUAAAGGCCUACCAAGGCGACGAUCCGUAACUGGUCUGAGAGGAUGAUCAGUCACACUGGAACUGAGACACGGUCCAGACUCCUACGGGAGGCAGCAGUGGGGAAUAUUGGACAAUGGGCGAAAGCCUGAUCCAGUCAUGCCGCGUGUGUGAAGAAGGUCUUCGGAUUGUAAAGCACGUUAAGUUGGGAGGAAGGGCAGUAAGUUAAUACCUUGCUGUUUUGACGUUACCAACAGAAUAAGCACCGGCUAACUUCGUG